rnacentral:rRNA from 1 species
AAGGCUUCGGCCUUAGUGGCGCACGGGUGCGUAACGCGUGGGAAUCUGCCCCUUGGUUCGGAAUAACAGCGAGAAAUUGCUGCUAAUACCGGAUAAUGACGUAAGUCCAAAGAUUUAUCGCCUAGGGAUGAGCCCGCGUAGGAUUAGCUAGUUGGUGUGGUAAAGGCGCACCAAGGCGACGAUCCUUAGCUGGUCUGAGAGGAUGAUCAGCCACACUGGGACUGAGACACGGCCCAGACUCCUACGGGAGGCAGCAGUGGGGAAUAUUGGACAAUGGGCGAAAGCCUGAUCCAGCAAUGCCGCGUGAGUGAUGAAGGCCUUAGGGUUGUAAAGCUCUUUUACCCGGGAUGAUAAUGACAGUACCGGGAGAAUAAGCUCCGGCUAACUCCGUGCCAGCAGCCGCGGUAAUACGGAGGGAGCUAGCGUUAUUCGGAAUUACUGGGCGUAAAGCGCACGUAGGCGGCUUUGUAAGUUAGAGGUGAAAGCCUGGAGCUCAACUCCAGAAUUGCCUUUAAGACUGCAUCGCUUGAAUCCAGGAGAGGUGAGUGGAAUUCCGAGUGUAGAGGUGAAAUUCGUAGAUAUUCGGAAGAACACCAGUGGCGAAGGCGGCUCACUGGACUGGUAUUGACGCUGAGGUGCGAAAGCGUGGG